CGGGGGAUAACUAUUGGAAACGAUAGCUAAUACCGCAUAAAAGUCGACAUUGCAUGAUGUUGACUUGAAAGGUGCAAAUGCAUCACUAAGAGAUGGACCUGCGUUGUAUUAGCUAGUUGGUGAGGUAACGGCUCACCAAGGCGACGAUACAUAGCCGACCUGAGAGGGUGAUCGGCCACACUGGGACUGAGACACGGCCCAGACUCCUACGGGAGGCAGCAGUAGGGAAUCUUCGGCAAUGGGGGCAACCCUGACCGAGCAACGCCGCGUGAGUGAAGAAGGUUUUCGGAUCGUAAAGCUCUGUUGUAAGAGAAGAACGAGUGUGAGAGUGGAAAGUUCACGCUGUGACGGUAUCUUACCAGAAAGGGACGGCUAACUACGUGCCAGCAGCCGCGGUAAUACGUAGGUCCCGAGCGUUAUCCGGAUUUAUUGGGCGUAAAGCGAGCGCAGGCGGUUAGAUAAGUCUGAAGUUAAAGGCUGUGGCUUAACCAUAGUACGCUUUGGAAACUGUUUAACUUGAGUGCAGAAGGGGAGAGUGGAAUUCCAUGUGUAGCGGUGAAAUGCGUAGAUAUAUGGAGGAACACCGGUGGCGAAAGCGGCUCU
rnacentral:rRNA from 1 species